ACUGGUACUUGGUAUCCUUGUUAUGUCGAGUAGAGAAGUCACAGGGUGGUAACUGAGGGACGGU
rfam:Camelus ferus unplaced genomic scaffold scaffold941, whole genome shotgun sequence.